rnacentral:rRNA from 1 species
UACGGAGGUGGCAAGCGUUGCUCGGAAUCACUGGGCGUAAAGGGUGCGUAGGCGGGUUUUUAAGUCAGGGGUGAAAUCCUGGAGCUCAACUCCAGAACUGCCUUUGAUACUGAAGAUCUUGAGUCCGGGAGAGGUGAGUGGAACUGCGAGUGUAGAGGUGAAAUUCGUAGAUAUUCGCAAGAACACCAGUGGCGAAGGCGGCUCACUGGCCCGGUACUGACGCUGAGGCACGAAAGCGUGGGGAGCAAACAGG